GUAUACUGCGGUAGCUUGUCAAGACAAAUGCAAGCGAUAAGUGCUUGGAUAAAAACGGGAAAGGUGCAGCCCCAAAUUAAGAUACUUUAAUAAUGAUGGCGAAAAAUACAAGGUCGUCAUGCACGAAUUGAUCAAAGCAAAGACAACGAAGAUAUUGACUAAAUUUCGAAAAGUCAAAUGGAUCGUCCUGCUAUUAUUGACUUAUUCAUUGAAGACGUUUUCAUGGCAUAGCCUGAAACACUAUAAUGAUGGACUAGGGUUUUAUAUAUAAGGCUAGAUAAAUUUACCACAAAACCUAUAACCAACAGAGUUUCUCUGGAAAAUUUGUCGUCAAUUUACUAAGUUACAUAAAAGCGUACGAUUAUAUAAUUGCAAUUAUCCGUAACGCCUUACUGUGCUGUUGUGACGUUCGUAAAUUAUUCUAUUUUUAGUUAUUUUUGGAACACGUACAGUGCGGAAUAUCGUAACACAAUGGAA